UACGUAGGGGGCUAGCGUUGUCCGGAAUCAUUGGGCGUAAAGAGCGUGUAGGCGGUCCGGUAAGUCCGUUGUGAAAGUCAGGGGCUCAACCCUUGAAUGCCGGCGGAUACUGUCGGGCUAGAGUCCGGAAGAGGCGAGUGGAAUUCCCGGUGUAGCGGUGAAAUGCGCAGAUAUCAGGAGGAACACCGGUGGCGAAGGCGGGUCUCUGGGCCGAUACUGACACUGAGGAGCGAAAGCGUGGGGAGCGAACAGG
rnacentral:rRNA from 1 species